AUGGGACGUCUCGACUCCUUUAUUGUGUGUGGCCGCCCUCAGUUGGAAGUGACUCUUCUUCAGGUAUUUCCGUUUUCCUGGAACGGUUAUGGAGGCAGACGUGGCUGGGGGCCGGCGCUGCCCUGUGCCAAGAGACGAGAGCCGUGCCCGUCACAGCCCCUUCCCGAGGCGUGGGUGGCGCGUGACCGACCCUCAGCUGCCUGCGGAGCGUCGCCCGAGGCUGCCCGGGGAGGACGCGCCUGGUCUCGGCACCGCGUGGGACGUCCGGCCCGCCAUCGUGCCCGGUGGGCUACCGCGGCUCUUCUUCGUGAUACAACACUGAUUUCCGGGAGGUGUCGUCACAGGGAUGACGAGGUCACCACCGAGGGAAGUCCAGGGGCUCGUCCAGGGGGCCGGCUGGAGAAAUGCGGUUUGAAUCCAGGUUUUGGCCAACUCCUCAAGAAGAGGCCACUUUCAGUUUUUCUGCACUGCCCUUCAGAGUGAGCUCUUACCCUUUAUUAUUUAUGAAUCUCAGUUUCCUUUGGUGAGCGACGCUCGGCUAGAUGCUGCACGUUGAGACACAGAGUGACUCUCCUUCCGGAAGAGUCGUUCUCUGAGCAUGAUGCUUGAAGGUCAGCAAGUAGGAAAUGAAAAGCCUUAACAGAGUGCAAGGAAAAAGAAGGGGCUUAAAAACAAACAGUAGUGUGCUUCUUUGUAUCUCUCUACAAAAUUGUUUUAAACACUAGUUCCACCCUCAACUCUCCUGUUCCAAGGCAUCCACUUCCUUUUUCUUUCUAGUGUUUCCAAUAGGAAAAAUGUGCAUUUGACUCUUUGAGAGGCACAUACUUGCUAUAAAAAAAUUUUCCAUGGUUUCUCCAGUUCAUAAAAGCCCUUUUUGUAUUUGUUUAAUUUUGUGUUUCAGAUAUAUUUUAUGGCACAGAGGUUUAAAACUUGCAUUAAACUGUAAACAAAAUUGUCUUUUGCGUUUCUGUUGAUUUGGUGCUCUUUUAUUGGCAGCGAGCCUUUUCAUCCCACCUCACUCUUAGAGCUCUGGGCGGUGUCCUGGCACGUCCACUGCACACGGGCCAGGACGCAUCUGCCUGGGCCCAGCGUCCUGGCUGUGGACACAGCACUGGAAUCCCUCUCCGGGGAGUGGCCGUUCUUGUGCAGAUGGCCUCAGCCUUCCAGGAGGAGCUUUCUCAGCCCCGUGCUUUCCAGCGGACUCUGCUGGGAAGCUGCGAAGCUCUGCUGGAUUGUAUGGAAUGUUUCAUUAAGAUCGGAGGUCCGCUCACAGGUAACCCCCUUGCCCGCGGCCGAGCCCCCGGUGUCCUGUCACGUCUUCCUGGCACUGCGGCUUGUUUCCUGCUCCCCGAGCAGUAGUGCCAGCUUUCUGCCUGCUUGACAAAUGCGCAGACAUGAAACCACAGCACCCAGCUCAUGGUCGGGGCUUUCCUUUUGCAGUAUUUAAGUGCUGUCCUGUGGUGUAAUUUGCAGUAAACUUGGGAACAAACGAGUACUUUUUCUCUUCCCAUUAUUCUCUCUUGACGUAAUUGUUUUGGAAGGACACUUCUCAAAGGAUGUUUUCAGCAGGAGACACCCUUACUCGUUUGGGAAGAUGUUUUGUGCUCACAUUGCCCCCCCUUUUUUUUCUUGGCUUUUCCUUUCUCCUGGAUGGGGCAUGAGUGGGGUGCCAGGCUACAGUCAGGGGAGUUGGGGGGUUCUCAGCAAACGGCAGCUUUUCAGCCACAUUGAUCCUUUUGAUCCUGGGCGAACUCUCGGUGCGUUUAAGGCUGGGAUUGCGGCUCCCCUGUGAGCUGAGCUCGGGCUCUUCCCACGUGCUCGGCUUCCCCGGAGGGCUUCAGCGAGGCUCGGCUGAGGCCUGCAGGCGCUUGCGGGGCCCUGGGCCCUCGGCCUUGAGCCGUUAACUUGUCCCUUAGAGUUAGCUUUAGAGGACCGCGGUCUCUGCGUGAGAGUUCCUGGAGUCUGAACUUGGUGCUCUUAACCCCUUAUACUCACAGGGCAUUGUAUUUAAAUAAGCAAACUUAAUCACUCAUCAGAGCUUCUGUUUUCUAAAGACCAAAUUCAAUUCACUUGUACUUGGUGCUUUUGGCUCCUCGUGUAUCAGCCAAAGAAGGAAAGCAGGGCAACCCUGCCGCGCCCCUCCGUGGACUCUCGUUUGGCGCCACAGUUAGCUCUCGGGUUCGGGGGCUACGGGCGAGGAACCCCUGGUAGAACCAGGGGCCUUUCUUUGCUGUUCUUGAGUUUUGUGCAGCAUGAGCCGCUGUUGGCAGAGUAGAAAUACGAAGAUGCGCUGGUACGUGCGGCCUUGCGUGGGGAGGAAACGCCUGUAUGUGUUCAGUGUUCGUUUCCUCCUUUCCUGCCUCGGAUUCCGAGGAGGUCACCUGCUUAGUCCAGGCAGUGCCCUCACCAUUUUUAUCAAAUGCUCAUUUAACUCUGUAUUUAAAUGGUGUGCUAGGUGCUAUAUUCAAAGUAUGUUAAAUGGAGUUUAUCCCUGGCCUUGGCAAUUGCCCUGCUGAUGUGGUGAAAUCUGAGCUGUAUUUCUUUAAAAGAGAAAAAGCAAAACUCACCAGAGGAAAACAGCUGGCCAUCCCGUGGAUUUAAUAACUCAGUGUCAGGAUGCUUUCCAGUGCCUCAAUCACGGCAGCCACGCUUACCGGGUGCCACGGUCACGGCAGCCAUGCUUACUGGGUGUCACAAUCAUGGGAGCUGACGCUUACUGGGUGCCACUGUCACAGCAGCCACGCUUACUGGGUGCCACCGUCACAGCAGCCACGCUUACUGAGUGCCACAGUCAUAGCAGCCAUGUUUACUGAGUGCCACAGUCACGGCAGCCACGCUUACUGAGUGCCACAGUCAUAGCAGCCAUGUUUACUGAGUGCCACAGUCACGGCAGCCACGCUUACUGAGUGCCACAGUCACGGCAGCCACGCUUACUGGGGGCCACAGUCACGGCAGCCACGCUUACUGGGGGGCCACAGUCACGGCAGCCACGCUUACUGGGGGCCACAGUCACCACGCCCAUGCUUACUGGGUGUCAUGGUCACAGCAGCCCGCACUAACCGGUGUUACGGUCACAGCAGCCCAUGCUUUCUGGGUGCCACGGUCACGGCAGCCCACGCUUACUGGUGCCACGGUCACGGCAGCUGGUGCUUCCUGAGUGCUCUCCAGGUGCUCAGCAGGGCUGGGGGCCACGCUGUGGGGCCGGCCUCUGGGAGAGGAGCAGACACCUGUGGAGUGGGGAGCGGGCCUGCCCAUCCUCACAUGAGCCGACAGCGCACACAAUUGGCUUCCCUGCAGGAGGGUGAGCUACAGAGACAUGGCAGGGGGUAAAGACGGAUGAGGAGCAAAGCCCCAUCAGCAGGGAGGCAGGGGCCGAGCCGAGCCCCCGCCUCCCGGGCCCGUUCAUUCCAGCCACGGAGACGUGAACAUGCGGUGCUGUGCCGUGGACGUGGCUGCUGCCUCCCAGCCCAGUGCUGGUCCUUGUCCCCUUACUGAGCACAGAGCACGUGAGGCCCGCUCAGCCCCAGGCUCGCUGAUUCUAGUUGCUUCGCCCGCAUUUGCCUUUUUCCUCUGCCAUCAGCAGGUUUGGUGCCUUGGGG
rnacentral:lncRNA from 1 species